GAUGAACGCUGGCGGCGUGCCUAAUACAUGCAAGUCGAGCGAACGGACGAGAAGCUUGCUUCUCUGAUGUUAGCGGCGGACGGGUGAGUAACACGUGGAUAACCUACCUAUAAGACUGGGAUAACUUCGGGAAACCGGAGCUAAUACCGGAUAAUAUUUUGAACCGCAUGGCUCAAAAGUGAAAGACGGUCUUGCUGUCACUUAUAGAUGGAUCCGCGCUGCAUUAGCAAGUUGGUAAGGUAACGGCUUACCAAGGCAACGAUGCAUAGCCGACCUGAGAGGGUGAUCGGCCACACUGGAACUGAGACACGGUCCAGACUCCUACGGGAGGCAGCAGUAGGGAAUCUUCCGCAAUGGGCGAAAGCCUGACGGAGCAACGCCGCGUGAGUGAUGAAGGUCUUCGGAUCGUAAAACUCUGUUAUUAGGGAAGAACAUAUGUGUAAGUAACUGUGCACAUCUUGACGGUACCUAAUCAGAAAGCCACGGCUAACUACGUGCCAGCAGCCGCGGUAAUACGUAGGUGGCAAGCGUUAUCCGGAAUUAUUGGGCGUAAAGCGCGCGUAGGCGGUUUUUUAAGUCUGAUGUGAAAGCCCACGGCUCAACCGUGGAGGGUCAUUGGAAACUGGAAAACUUGAGUGCAGAAGAGGAAAGUGGAAUUCCAUGUGUAGCGGUGAAAUGCGCAGAGAUAUGGAGGAACACCAGUGGCGAAGGCGACUUUCUGGUCUGUAACUGACGCUGAUGUGCGAAAGCGUGGGGAUCAAACAGGAUUAGAUACCCUGGUAGUCCACGCCGUAAACGAUGAGUGCUAAGUGUUAGGGGGUUUCCGCCCCUUAGUGCUGCAGCUAACGCAUUAAGCACUCCGCCUGGGGAGUACGACCGCAAGGUUGAAACUCAAAGGAAUUGACGGGGACCCGCACAAGCGGUGGAGCAUGUGGUUUAAUUCGAAGCAACGCGAAGAACCUUACCAAAUCUUGACAUCCUUUGACAACUCUAGAGAUAGAGCCUUCCCCUUCGGGGGGGCAAAGUGACAGGUGGUGCAUGGUUGUCGUCAGCUCGUGUCGUGAGAUGUUGGGUUAAGUCCCGCAACGAGCGCAACCCUUAAGCUUAGUUGCCAUCAUUAAGUUGGGCACUCUAAGUUGACUGCCGGUGACAAACCGGAGGAAGGUGGGGAUGACGUCAAAUCAUCAUGCCCCUUAUGAUUUGGGCUACACACGUGCUACAAUGGACAAUACAAAGGGCAGCGAAACCGCGAGGUCAAGCAAAUCCCAUAAAGUUGUUCUCAGUUCGGAUUGUAGUCUGCAACUCGACUACAUGAAGCUGGAAUCGCUAGUAAUCGUAGAUCAGCAUGCUACGGUGAAUACGUUCCCGGGUCU
rnacentral:rRNA from 1 species